rnacentral:rRNA from 1 species
AGUGAACGCUGGCGGUAGGCCUAACACAUGCAAGUCGAACGGCAGCACAGUAAGAGCUUGCUCUUACGGGUGGCGAGUGGCGGACGGGUGAGGAAUACAUCGGAAUCUACUUUUUCGUGGGGGAUAACGUAGGGAAACUUACGCUAAUACCGCAUACGACCUAAGGGUGAAAGCAGGGGAUCUUCGGACCUUGCGCGAUUGAAUGAGCCGAUGUCGGAUUAGCUAGUUGGCGGGGUAAAGGCCCACCAAGGCGACGAUCCGUAGCUGGUCUGAGAGGAUGAUCAGCCACACUGGAACUGAGACACGGUCUAGACUCCUACGGGAGGCAGCAGUGGGGAAUAUUGGACAAUGGGCGCAAGCCUGAUCCAGCCAUACCGCGUGGGUGAAGAAGGCCUUCGGGUUGUAAAGCCCUUUUGUUGGGAAAGAAAAGCAGCAGGUUAAUACCCCGCUGUUCUGACGGUACCCAAAGAAUAAGCACCGGCUAACUUCGUG